rnacentral:rRNA from 1 species
CGCAUCUGUGCAUGCAGCAUAUCAAUAAGCGGAGGAAAAGAAACUAACAAGGAUUCCCCUAGUAACGGCGAGUGAAGCGGGAAGAGCUCAAAUUUGAAAUCUUAAAGGGUUUCCCUUUACGAAUUGUAGUUUAAAGAAGUGUUUUCUGUUGAGGUUUUGGUAAAAGGUUCUUUGGAAUAGGACAUCAUAGAGGGUGAGAAUCCCGUAUUUGACCUUUACUUUCAACUUUGUGAUACACUUUCAAAGAGUCGGAUUGUUUGGGAAUGCAGUCCAAAAUGGGUGGUAAAUUUCAUCUAAAGCUAAAUAUUGGCGAGAGACCGAUAGCGAACAAGUACCGUGAGGGAAAGGAUGAAAAGAACUUUGGAAAAGAGAGUUAAACAGUACGUGAAAUUGUCAAAAGGGAAGCGUUUGACACCAGUGUUGUUUUUCUGAAAAUCAAUUAAAGAACUGUUUAUGCUAAGCUGUUUAGACUUUAUCAGCUAACUGUUUAGUUUUGAGCUUUUCUUUAAUGCACUUUUCAGUUAACAAGUCAACAUCAAUUUCUUUUGCUGUAAAAAAGCUUGAGGAAGGUGGCUUGAGAUUCGUCUUAAGUGUUUAUAGCCUCUUGCCUAUGCAGUCGGAGAGAUUGAGGUCUGCAGCGUAGAUCCUUCGGGGCUAAAUGCAUUUGUGCUAAGUUAUAACAUUUUAUAGACAACUUGUUGACUAUGAUUUGUCUUGUAGCUUACUCGCUUAUGUUAUUUUACCUACGCUUAGGAUGUUGACAGCAGUAUAGACUGU